rnacentral:lncRNA from 1 species
CUAAUUUAUAGCUUUUGAUGAUUUCUGUGAUGUAGAAGAUAGCACUGAACAUGUAACAAUCAGCUAUGUAAUAAUGCACCAAUGAAAAUGUAACAGUGAGUCAGUAGAAGCUGGCUCCAGCACCUCCCUAGGUAACAGCCACAGUCAGGGACACAAUAUAGAUGAUGAAUCAACAAAGGAGACAGAGAAAAAUAUUAAAAUGCCUGUCAAAUACUGUCUGUGAGCCAAUUUAAUAGGUAGUGUGCUUUCCUCUGCCCUCGACUUCUGGAUCUCUGAAAGAUAGUAAGGAAAAAUCAGUCAUGCAGAGUGACUCCAUGCUGCAGAGGUGGAAGCUACAAAUCUAUCAGGAAAGAAGAAUUCAGGAACAAGUUCUGUGUACAUCUGGGGUUUUCGUUGCUCCUGGACCACAAAGCUGCUUGACUUUCAAGGGCAGAUAAGAGAGUGGUGAUCUGGGUACCGGUUUCACUUUUCACGGCACUUGAGAAGGGUUUUGAAGAGCAAGGGGCCAACAUCACUGUCUGUCCUCCAUCCAGGAUUACAGAGGCUGCAGUGGCAAUGUCACCGGGGCAUGGCCAGAGGCACAUUAAAUAAAAUCCCAAUAAAGCUUCCA